rnacentral:rRNA from 1 species
CUAUAACGGUCCUAAGGUAGCGAAAUUCCUUGUCGGGUAAGUUCCGACCCGCACGAAAGGCGUAACGAUUUGGGCACUGUCUCAACGAGAGACUCGGUGAAAUCAUAGUACCUGUGAAGAUGCAGGUUACCCGCGACAGGACGGAAAGACCCCGUGGAGCUUUACUGUAGCCUGAUAUUGAAAUUCGGCACAGCUUGUACAGGAUAGGUAGGAGCCUUUGAAACGUGAGCGCUAGCUUACGUGGAGGCGUUGGUGGGAUACUACCCUAGCUGUGUUGGCUUUCUAACCCGCACCACUUAUCGUGGUGGGAGACAGUGUCAGGCGGGCAGUUUGACUGGGGCGGUCGCCUCCUAAAAGGUAACGGAGGCGCUCAAAGGUUCCCUCAGAAUGGUUGGAAAUCAUUCAUAGAGUGUAAAGGCAUAAGGGAGCUUGACUGCGAGACCUACAAGUCGAGCAGGGUCGAAAGACGGACUUAGUGAUCCGGUGGUUCCGCAUGGAAGGGCCAUCGCUCAACGGAUAAAAGCUACCCCGGGGAUAACAGGCUUAUCUCCCCCAAGAGUUCACAUCGACGGGGAGGUUUGGCACCUCGAUGUCGGCUCAUCGCAUCCUGGGGCUGUAGUCGGUCCCAAGGGUUGGGCUGUUCGCCCAUUAAAGCGGUACGCGAGCUGGGUUCAGAACGUCGUGAGACAGUUCGGUCCCUAUCCGUCGUGGGCGUAGGAAAUUUGAGAGGAGCUGUCCUUAGUACGAGAGGACCGGGAUGGACAUACCUCUGGUGUACCAGUUGUCGUGCCAACGGCAUAGCUGGGUAGCUAUGUAUGGACGGGAUAAGUGCUGAAAGCAUCUAAGCAUGAAGCCCCCCUCAAGAUGAGAUUUCCCAACUUCGGUUAUAAGAUCCCUCGAAGAUGACGAGGUUAAUAGGUUCGAGGUGGAAGCGUGGUGACACGUGGAGCUGACGAAUACUAAUCGAUCGAAGACUUAAUCAAUUUUUAAA